AUACUUCUGUGGCAGCGGAGAUACCCUGAUCAUGAAGAUGGCUUUCCCAGGGUGAGGCUUACCCAUUGCAUUCCAUAUGUGUUGACUUACAAAAUUUUCCCAAGUUGGGAAAACUUGAUUGCGUAAUUUGUGGUAAUGGGAGAUUGUAUUCAUGCCCCUCCAG
ensembl:snRNA U1 U1 spliceosomal RNA